AUUGAACGCUGGCGGCAUGCCUUACACAUGCAAGUCGAACGGCAGCACGGGGCAACCUGGUGGCGAGUGGCGAACGGGUGAGUAAUGCAUCGGAACGUGCCAUUGAGUGGGGGAUAACGUAGCGAAAGUUGCGCUAAUACCGCAUAUUCUGUGAGCAGGAAAGCAGGGGACCGCAAGGCCUUGCGCUCUUUGAGCGGCCGAUGUCAGAUUAGCUAGUUGGUGAGGUAACGGCUUACCAAGGCGACGAUCUGUAGCGGGUCUGAGAGGAUGAUCCGCCACACUGUAACUGAGACACGGUCCAGACUCCUACGGGAGGCAGCAGUGGGGAAUUUUGGACAAUGGGCGCAAGCCUGAUCCAGCCAUGCCGCGUGAGUG
rnacentral:rRNA from 1 species